UUAAGUUCAGCGGGUAUUCCUACCCGAUCCGAGGUCAACCUUAAUCAAAUUUCGAUUUGAAAUUUAUGUGGUUUUGACGGCGUGAUCCGUUCCUAUCGCUAGCGAGGAGUGUACCACAACGCUAAGACAGGCGACGGCCAGCCGGUGAAAUGAAGGCGCGGGGAGUCCCCGGCGCCCAAUACCAAGCCAGGCUUGAUUGG
rnacentral:misc_RNA from 1 species